AUACGGAGGGUGCAAGCGUUAAUCGGAAUUACUGGGCGUAAAGCGUACGUAGGCGGUUAUUUAAGUGAGAUGUGAAAGCCCCGGGCUUAACUUGGGAACUGCAUUUGAAACUGGGUAACUAGAGUUUAGUAGAGGGGAGUGGAAUUUCAGGUGUAGCGGUGAAAUGCGUAGAGAUCUGAAGGAACACCAGUGGCGAAGGCGACUCCCUGGACUAAAACUGACGCUGAGGUACGAAAGCGUGGGUAGCAAACAGAAUUAGAUACCCGAGUAGUCC
rnacentral:rRNA from 1 species